GACGAACGCUGGCGGCGUGCUUAACACAUGCAAGUCGAACGAAGUGGCGAACGGGUGAGUAAUACGUGGGUAACCUGCCCUCCUUUUUGGGAUAAGCCUUGGAAACGGGGUCUAAUACCGAAUAAAGGGGGAUGGGCUCGCGGCCUAUCAGGUUGUUGGGGGGGUGAUGGCCUACCAAGGCGGUGCCGGGUAGCCGGCCUGAGAGGGGGACAGGCAACAUGAGGACGUAGAGACGGCCCAGAGUCCUACGAGAGGCAGCAGUGGGGGAGAGGGCACAAUGGGCGAAAGCCUGAUGCAGCGACGUCGCGUGGGGGAUGAAGGCUUUCGGGGUGUAAACCUCGGACGCUAUCGAACCGGUAGGUGGAGAAGAAGCGCCGGCUAACUACGUGCCAGCAGCCGCGGUAAUAC
rnacentral:rRNA from 1 species